UGGGCUAUGGCUCUAUAUAACCGAAACUGCAAAAGACUUAUUUUUUCGACUGCAAAGCCUCUCCUUAAUGUAAACAGUUGUUGUUCUGAAUGGAUCUUUUGUUUAUACCUAUUAUGUCUGUUUGUUUUGUUCACAUAUCGUUGUCAUUACAAUGGAUUUUUAAACGACUGUCAUAUAAGUGAGAGGAAACCCAGGUUAACCAAAUUAAUAUUACUCCACCACAUGUUCAUUAUGUAUGACUAUUGUUUUUUAACUUUAAGAAAAUUUCC
rnacentral:lncRNA from 1 species